rnacentral:lncRNA from 1 species
UAAAAUCUCAAAUAAAUCUCAAAUCAAUUAAAAAAUUGAUGAGAAUAUUUUUCAUAGAUCCAUCAUCAUCCAAAUAGGUUAGGAAAAUAUUUUUGUAUUUUUUGAAUAAAAAUCUCAAAUCAAUUAAAAAAUUGAUGAGAAUAUUUUUCAUAGAUCCAUCAUCAUCCAAAUAGGUUAGGAAAAUAUUUUUGUAUUUUUUGAAUAUCAAAAACUAUUUAAAAUGAAUUAAAAAUAACUAGAAAAGAGAAAAUUCACAA